UACGUAGGGGGCAAGCGUUAUCCGGAAUCAUUGGGCAUAAAGCGCGUGUAGGCGGUUCUGUAAGUCCGCUCUGAAAGCCCAGGGCUCAACCCUGGGAGGCGGGUGGAUACUACAGAACUGGAGUACGGAAGAGGAGAUUGGAAUUCCUGGUGUAGCGGUGAAAUGCGCAGAUAUCAGGAGGAACACCGGUGGCGAAGGCGGGUCUCUGGGCCGAUACUGACGCUGAGGAGCGAAAGCGUGGGGAGCGAACAGG
rnacentral:rRNA from 1 species